GAUGAAGAACGCAGCGAAAUGCGAUAAGUAGUGUGAAUUGCAGAAUUCAGUGAAUCAUCGAAUCUUUGAACGCACAUUGCGCCCCAUGGUAUUCCGUGGGGCAUGCCUGUUCGAGCGUCAUUUACCCCCUCAAGCUCCGCUUGGUGUUGGGCGUCUGUCCCGCUUCGCGCGCGGACUCGCCCCAAAGGUAUUGGCAGCGGUCGUGCCAGCUUCUCGCGCAGCACAUUGCGCUUCUCGAGGCACCGGUGGGCCCGCGUCCAUCAAGCACACCCCCCCAGUUUGACCUCGGAUCAGGUAGGGAUACCCGCUGAACUUAAGCAUAUCAAUAAGCGGAGGA
rnacentral:misc_RNA from 1 species